GCCUGGAUAGCUCAGUUGGUUGGAGCAUGGUGCUGAUAACACAGGGGUUGCAGGUUUGAUCCCUGUAUAUUCAAUCCCAGCA